CCUACGGGAGGCAGCAGUGGGGAAUUUUGGACAAUGGGCGCAAGCCUGAUCCAGCAAUGCCGCGUGCAGGAUGAAGGCCUUCGGGUUGUAAACUGCUUUUGUACGGAACGAAACGGUCUGCUCUAAUACAGUGGGCUAAUGACGGUACCGUAAGAAUAAGCACCGGCUAACUACGUGCCAGCAGCCGCGGUAAUACGUAGGGUGCGAGCGUUAAUCGGAAUUACUGGGCGUAAAGCGUGCGCAGGCGGUUAUAUAAGACAGAUGUGAAAUCCCCGGGCUCAACCUGGGACCUGCAUUUGUGACUGUAUAGCUAGAGUGCGGCAGAGGGGGGAUGGAAUUCCGCGUGUAGCAGUGAAAUGCGUAGAUAUGCGGAGGAACACCGAUGGCGAAGGCAAUCCCCUGGGCCUGCACUGACGCUCAUGCACGAAAGCGUGGGGAGCAAACAGGAUUAGAUACCCUGGUAGUCCACGCCCUAAACGAUGUCAACUGGUUGUUGGGUCUUCACUGACUCAGUAACGAAGCUAACGCGUGAAGUUGACCGCCUGGGGAGUACGGCCGCAAGGUUGAAACGUCAAAGGAUUGACGG
rnacentral:rRNA from 1 species